GUUUGAUGGCGACCGGCGCACGGGUGAGUAACACGUAUCCAACCUGCCGAUGACUCGGGGAUAGCCUUUCGAAAGAAAGAUUAAUACCCGAUGGCAUAGUUCUUCCGCAUGGUAGAACUAUUAAAGGAUUUCGGUCAUCGAUGGGGAUGCGUUCCAUUAGGUUGUUGGCGGGGUAACGGCCCACCAAGCCUUCGAUGGAUAGGGGUUCUGAGAGGAAGGUCCCCCACAUUGGAACUGAGACACGGUCCAAACUCCUACGGGAGGCAGCAUG
rnacentral:rRNA from 1 species